GUGCUCGCUUUGGCAGGAUAUAUACUAAAAUUGGAACGAUACAGAGAAGAUUAGCAUGGCCCCUGCACAAGGAUGACACACAAAUUUGUGAAGUGUUCCAUAUUUUU
rnacentral:snRNA from 1 species